rnacentral:rRNA from 1 species
CCUACGGGAGGCAGCAGUGGGGAAUUUUGGACAAUGGGCGCAAGCCUGAUCCAGCCAUGCCGCGUGCGGGAAGAAGGCCUUCGGGUUGUAAACCGCUUUUGUCAGGGAAGAAAAGGUUCUGGCUAAUACCUGGGACUCAUGACGGUACCUGAAGAAUAAGCACCGGCUAACUACGUGCCAGCAGCCGCGGUAAUACGUAGGGUGCAAGCGUUAAUCGGAAUUACUGGGCGUAAAGCGUGCGCAGGCGGUUAUGCAAGACAGAGGUGAAAUCCCCGGGCUCAACCUGGGAACUGCCUUUGUGACUGCAUAGCUAGAGUACGGUAGAGGGGGAUGGAAUUCCGCGUGUAGCAGUGAAAUGCGUAGAUAUGCGGAGGAACACCGAUGGCGAAGGCAAUCCCCUGGACCUGUACUGACGCUCAUGCACGAAAGCGUGGGGAGCAAACAGGAUUAGAUACCCUGGUAGUCCACGCCCUAAACGAUGUCAACUGGUUGUUGGGAGGGUUUCUUCUCAGUAACGUAGCUAACGCGUGAAGUUGACCGCCUGGGGNGAGCGCAGUGA